CAAUAAAACGAGGCUGGUGAAAACUCCUGCUAUCAAAUCAAAGUAUGAAGUUAUUUCACUGCCUUUUCUUUGCAGGUUAAACUAUGGCCAUGAAAAAUGGUGCUGGGAUUGAAUCAUGAAUGUACAGGAGUCUUUAAACUGUUUCAUGGACAUUAUUUCUACAUCAUAUAUAGGUACAGCAACACCCCCUUCACAACGACUAGUGAUCAUGUUACCAAUUUCAGUCCAUGUAUCUGAAUGAGGGUUAUAAACUUCAACUGAGUCCAAGGUACCUGGGGCCAAGAAAUCAUGGCUAGAAGAUCGGCCUCCAGCAAUAUACAGAAGACCGUUGACUGCCACAACACACAUGCCCGCUCGAGGCACUUUCAUUGAGGCAACUUCAACCCACUUUUCCUGGUUGAGAGAGAAAAAAAUAAACAAAUAAACAUAAAUGUCAUAAAAUUAUACUAGAAAAAAAAUCACUGAGAAAUCAGACAGUUUGGUUCUUUUUAGAUGUUUAAAUUUCAAACUAACAAUACAGUCUUAUAAGUAUGUAGAACACUUUUAAAUGAAAUUUUGAGUAGAACUGGAUAAAGUGAAUUUAGAAGAAAAUAAUAUGAAAAGAUGUCUGAAUAUAAAUUAUGAUCGAGAGAUGAUCUAGAAAUCAUACAUAUGAGAAGCUAAGUCUAUGGAAUACAAGUAGGUAAUAGACUCAAUAAAAUAAAACAAAAAGAAGUUCAUGCCAAAGGGCUUUUUAAAGACUUUAAUAAUGCUAACAAAAGCUUUAAAAAUUUCCAAGAGAAUUAUACAAUACUUGCCAAAUUUAUUUGACCAUGAAAUCCUUGUUUCAAGGACCAUCCAGUGGAGUUAGCAAUUUGCAGAACAUAUUUUCAAAGGUUGGGUACUAUAGUCUAUUUUUGUAUAGCCUAAGAAUGAAAAAUGAUUUUUCCAUAUUAAAAGGUUAUCUUAAAAAAAGAAUAUGUCAAGAGAAGAUAUUGUAUGUCGCCCACAAGGCCAAAAAUAUUUACUCUUUAGUCCUUUCCACAAAAAAAUUGCUAAGGGCCAGGGAUUUAGCUCAGUGGUUUCAUUGCCUGCUGCACAAGCUCAAGGACCAGAGUUCGAUCCCUGGUACAAAAACAAAAAAAAAUUGCUAACUCCUAUGAGCACUGUUCUCUGAAGGAAUUCCAAUAAGCUUCUCUUAGUAAAAUUACUAUUAGUAUCCUACUUCAGGGGAAUUGUCUACACCUAGAAAACAGGAAAGCUAAUAAAGAUCCUAAGACAAGGGGCUGGGGAUUUAGCUCAGUGGUUCCGGCGCCUGCCUCACAAGCAUGAGGUCCCAAGUUUGAUCCCCGGUACCCCCCCCCCCCACAAAAAAAAAUCCUAAUACGCAAUCAGGAAAGAAAAGAGCAAGUGGCCAGAUAAUAAAGACUAGAUUAUGUAUAAAUAAAGCAUACUAUAAACAAAGUUUUUGAAAUCAUAAAAAGUGAACAUUGGUUACUCAUUAAUGAUAGAGAAUACACUUUUUGAGGACAGAGACUUAAUUAAUGACCUUUUCAUCUUAGAACCUGCUAGCCCAUUAUAGACAGUUAAUGUAUGUUUGGUGAUCUGAACUUAAAUGAAAUUCUGAAAUAAUAAAACCAGGGGGAAUUCUUUGAAUUGAAGUACCAAAUUAAAUUUGAAGGUUACAAUCAUCUGUAACCUGGAAUACAUCACAAAGUUGGCAUGGCUGAAAAAUAAUUAUUUUAAAAGACAGAUAUAUUCAUAAAAUAUCCAUAAUUGGUUAAGAUAAAUUAGGAUGUUUUGAGGUUAUAUUUAUAAUUAGGGAGAAUAGGGGUUAGAAUUUACAGAGUGAUAGAGUGCUUCCCUAGCAAGCUUGAGGCUCUGGGUUAGGUUCUCAGUACAAAAAAGUUAAAAAAACGAAAGAGAGAAAAAGGGAAAAAAGAAAAAAGCAACUAUAAUAAGGGAGAACUAAUCUUUGCUCUCUCAUGAAAAUGCCCUUUGACAAUUAUGGAGUAUGAACCUUAUCCUGUAUUGUUUCUUUCAUUUCUAUCAGUGUAUUAGAACUAUAGUUUGCUUUUUAUUCCAAGUGACCUCAAAAUAAACUCUGCAAGAUGUUUUAUAUUA